AGGACUAACGCUGGCGGCGUGCCUAACACAUGCAAGUCGAACGAGAGUAGCAAUACUCUAGUGGCAGACGGGUGAGUAACACGUGGUCAACCUACCUCUUAGUGGGGGAUAACUAGCCGAAAGGUUAGCUAAUACCGCAUUCGAUCUUCGAUCGGCAUCGAUUGAAGAUGAAAGGCGCAAGUCGCUAAGAGACGGGACCGCGUCCCAUUAGCUAGUUGGUAGGGUAAUGGCCUACCAAGGCGACGAUGGGUAGCUGGCUUGAGAGAGCGACCAGCCACACUGGGACUGAGACACGGCCCAGACUCCUACGGGAGGCAGCAGUGAGGAAUUUUCCGCAAUGGGCGAAAGCCUGACGGAGCGACGCCGCGUGUGGGAAGAAGGCCUUCGGGUCGUAACCACUGUCGAAGGGGAAGAUAUUGACGGUACCCUUGGAGGAAGCCCGGCUAACUACGUGCCAGCAGCCGC
rnacentral:rRNA from 1 species